UACAGAGGGUGCAAGCGUUAAUCGGAAUUACUGGGCGUAAAGCGUGCGUAGACGGUCAUGUAAGCCGGGUGUGAAAGCCCCGGGCUCAACCUGGGAAUUGCAUUCGAGACUGCAUGGCUAGGAUGCGGAAGAGGGAAGCGGAAUUUCCGGUGUAGCGGUGAAAUGCGUAGAUAUCGGAAGGAACACCAGUGGCGAAAGCGGCUUCCUGGUCCAGCAUCGACGUUCAGGCACGAAAGCGUGGGGAGCAAACAGG
rnacentral:rRNA from 1 species